GGAGGUUAGGUUUCAACAUAUGAAUGUUGAGAGGAAACAAACAUUCUGAACAUAGCAAACACCUUGGACUCACUCCACCCUCAGUAAUUGUUCACUGAAUGAAUGGAUUUCACUGGAAGACUGGAAGAUAGUCCUGUUUUCCCCAUUCUCUUUCUCUGAUCAUAAUUCUUCUCUGGUCCCCUUGUCACACGAGAUCCUCUCCCACCUUUAAUCAUGUGUGAAUUGUCCUUGUGCAAGCAGAGUGGAAGGUUUUAAGGAGCAAUCAAAGAUGAAUCAUAUGGAAUCAUGCUGGAAGGAGCUAAGAACUUUACUGGGGGAGAUGAGACAUGCAUAAAUGACCAAGGAAGCUAAAAAAAAAAAAAAAAGAGAAGAAGAAGAAAGCUAAAGGUGUAGUGACAUGGAAGUUCACAGGAGUGGCAGAUGUUUGCAGUUGAAUUUGCCUGGGAGGAGGCAUAGCACCUACCCAGGCUGUGCUGGCUCCUCUCUAAUUUGUAGUGUUAAUACCUCACUUCUGUUUAUGCUUUUGUUUUUGCUUUCAAUAUUCUACCAGCAGACUGGGAAAUCAGGAAACAGUUUAUGAUGGUUUACCCCACAGCUGUUCAGAGCUCCUAUGUUUGUCAUAGCAGGUAUGUGUAGAACCAUUAAAAAAAAAAUCUGUUUCAAAGAGCAAAUAUUAUCCAGAAAUAUUUGGAAAGGAUCUCUAUAUAGUGUUUCUUAAUGUUUUAAUGUUUCAAAGAUCUCUAAAAGAUAGAAUUGACUUAACAGAGUUCUAGUCUACUUGUGAGGCUAUAUAUAUGUAUGUAUGAUGUUUCUCAACUUUUUAAAAUACAUUGCCCUUGGUGAUAAACAUUACAGCCACCCACCCCACCCCCCAGCCUGCUCUGCUCUGUGGAGAAUCACCAGUUUAUGAUUAUUAAGCAUCCAUAAGACCAAAAGAGUUGUAGCACUCUCUUUAAGUGGCACCCCUCUAAAUCAAUAAAUACAAACACACAAGAUGAUUGAGGCUACAGAUCAGUUUUUAUUAGUAAAACAUAUUUAAAACACCUCGAUCACUUUUUAAAAAUGCGACUCUUACUUUCUUGGAUAUUCUGUUUGAAAAACCAUGAACAUUGAAUUUUCCUGAAGGAAGCAAUUUAAAAUAAAAUGUAAAAUGUUGACAACUGUGGAUAUGCACAUAUGAGGUUAUUAAUUUAAACAAUACCUUUCUUUGUACUUUUACUACAAACUGCACAAUCUUAACAUACUAAUUACAGAUUAAAUUUAAUGCCCCAGGCUUCUCCGUAUUCCAUAAACUCACCUCCCUUCUGUCCAACAAGAUUAUCUUCUCCCAAAGGAUUCUCAAUAGCUGGCCUCAGUAGGGUGCUGGCACACAAUAUUCAAAAAACACGACAAACAAAAAGCAAAACCAAACAAAACACCUGGGGCAGCUAAAGUUCCCAUUUACUUAAUCAGGGAUAUCUCAAAGUGCUUUAUUUAAAAUAAACUACAUCUUUGAGUGCCUCAUGGGAAAUUUAUUUAAAUAACCAAAAGAGUCCUCUGUUUUUGACCAGAUUAGUAGAUGACUAAUUUUUAAAACCUGUUAUAUAGUUAAACAAGGUCCAAUCUGUUAGGACACCUCAGAUACUUUUCUAUUCCAUAAAGCACAGCUUCACACCCCAAAGUAUUUGGGAGUUCCGCCGACAGCUCCACAGCAACACAGCGGGUCUCUAUUCCCUGAAUCUCCCAACCAUCUCAUGCCAAGAGAUGUUGGGACAAAGGCCAGACAUGAGAAUUGGACAAAUCCGCGAAGACAAAGGGCGCUGCUGACCACCAGCGCACGCGGCCCGCCCGGGCAGAGGCAGCAGGGGCCGCGCCGCUCACAUGAGCUUUCACACGUAGGCGGGCGCCGGGAGCAGCAGCCCCACGGGCCGAACCCGGCCUCGGAGCCGGGGGCGGGGGCGGGGGCUGGGGCUGCGGUGCUGCGCCCGAGCACGUACCGGGGCGGGGCCUGCAGCGCGGCGGGCGGGGCUUGGGCAAGUUUUUCCCAGCGGCUUGUGUUUCGCAUCCUUAUCAUGUAGUACCGGCGGCACCAGGCACAGAAGGGGUGACCGGUCCCUUCCGCAUCCUUGUUAUUUCCCCGCUGAGGGGUCUGUCUGAUCAGUGCUGCUCUCAGGCACCUGUCUUUUCUCUCCGUCCCGGAUCAUGGAGCCGAGACAAGGGAAUAAAAGAAAUUAAAUAGUACAAGGAGAUCGGGUGUCUGGGCAGCGUCUUGGAUAAAACCGUCCACUACAGUUCACAGCAAAUACAAAGUAUGAAAUGAACAAACAGAAGAGGGCUCCUACUGGCAAGGUUAAAAAUGGUCACAGAAUGUAGUGAGAGUUGGUGAACAUGAAAGAUCUCCAGAGUACGAAUGAGCGUAGACUCGAGCCCAUCUACCUGAGCUUAACCUACACUCUGCCAUUUAUGAACCAAGUAAUCUUGGGCUAUUACACUUUUGUAAAACAACUCACCAGCAUCCAGAAGUUUCCUUACACGCAAAUAGCUGAUGGUAAGCCUCAUAACAGAAGCCUUAUCAAGAUGCGAGCUCACAUUAUGGGGAAGUGGCAACUGAUGAGCAAGCUCAUAAAAAACUUCGGACUCUUUACUUCUCCGAGAUCUAGCUGCAUCUCUAGACUUUUCUUUUCUACGUUCAGAACUUAUCCUAUUUAACAAAAGAGGAGGAGGAAGAGAGAAAAAGAGAAAAUUUAUAUGUUAGUUUGCCUUUGCUUGGAUAACACUAUAUAUUUUUCUGCUUUUCAUGGAAUAAUUUAAAGAUGCCAUGUAAAUCAAAUUAUACAGAGAUUUGUCUAUUACAUGAAUGUAUAAGUAAGAAUGUAAAAUACAGCUACAAAAAUUUUUGGAUUACUGAAGACAUAAGGAACUCACAAGAAGUCCAAGAUGAAGCUUUAAACCUUUCUGAAACAGGUAUUUCCUCCCUGGAAUAUCAAAUUGGAGAGGAUGUUUUUGUUUUAACCAAAAUCUUAAAAGUAGCCCGCGUAUCUAAGGCUAUACCCUCACAGCCAUUCAGAAGUAGUCUCAACAUAAAAAAAAAAAAAAAAAAAAAUCACCAUUAAGUCUAGAGAAACUAAAGCUGUACAUAUUAACUUGAAAACAGGAAGUUGUUAAGCAGGCAGACUACAGACUGCAGCUAAAACUGAUUUUUGACUCAAGUUUCUUUUGACUCCAAUAUUUUCCCAUCCUCUACCCUACCACAUGAGCAAUACUGACUGUAAGUUAUAGAUACUUAUAUUAGCCGCUAUAAUAAGUUACCAUUUUCAGGUUGCUUCUUCCCUUAGCACCCCUUAAUCUAUUACUGGCACAACAGGUACCAAAUAAAGGCAGGAGUAAUAGAAGAAGAAAAGAUGUGGCACAACAGUAAGAAUUGAAAGAAACAGGUUAAUAAAGAUUAAUAAAGGUGUCAAAACAAUGACAUAUCUUUAGGGAACUCUCCCAAGAAUAAAGUCAGUCAGAAAGAUUUUCCUAAGUCACACCAAGCAGAGACAUUUUCCUCUGCUUAACUGUAGCAACAUCUAUUCCUCCUAACCCAGCUGGAGGUAAACAAGGCUAAACCUGGUUCUGUCCUUAUCUUCCUCUUUAAUAGCUAUUUUUUAUUAAAACCUACUAUGUGUCAAAUGCUACCCUGUACCAGGUAACUAGUUUUCUCAUAAAUUGCAAAUAGGUUAAAUAUUAUCCCUUUUUACAGAGGAGGUUAUAUAGUGUUAAAAACAGCCAUUAUGUAGCGGACGGGAUUUGAACACAGUUGUUUUUUUUACUCCUAAGUCUUUGCUCUUCCACAGUUGUUUUAAGAAUGCUGUUUCUACCUCAAAUACUCGGCUGCUGUCCUAUGACCCUCAACCUAAUUCUGUUAAGUCAAUUAUUUAUUAAAUGUUGAAAAAACGCAUUACCAUUUAUUGAGCACUUAGCAAGCAGUAUGGUAAGGACUUUGCCAGCAUUAUUUCACUUAAUCCUCCUUAUAUCCUAUGAAUAAAGCAUAAUUAUAUCUACCUCACAUCUCUCCUCCCUUCAAAUCACCUGCAAAACUGCAAGGUUCAAUCAUAAAAGCAAUAUUCUCAAAAACAACAAGUAAAGAAAACCAGGCAGGGUUCUCAGCACAUGCUCCUACUAUGUUGUAUAACAAGUGAAUAACAGUUGUAUUAUAUACUAAUGAUAAUGUAGUUUUAGCACUUAAGUUUGCGUGCUUUAUCUGACUUUUAUAACUUAAUAAGGAAUGUGAAUAUUUUGUUUUACUAACUGAACUUUGAUACAAAUUAUUCAAUUUAAGCACCUAGAUCAAUUUAACUUUAGUAUCUUGAGAUUUAAGGUGAACUAUUAAAAUUACUACUUAUAACUAGUGAUCUAUGUAAAUCAGGAUUUUCUUAAUUUUGUAUAAUUUUUAAAAACCCAUGAAAAUAAAUUAGACUGAGACUAUCAUGAAAAUGCAACAAUGUCAACAGUCCGCAACUUCAUUUUUUAUCUGCUUAGAACUGCCUCAUUGUUCUCAUUAACUUUAAGUGAAUGUUUUAAAUUUGAACUUAGAAACAGAUGUACAAUAAUAAAAGUUUUCAAAAUCUAUUUUAUACAUAUACCAGAGUUCCCAAGUAUGGGGGUAGAGAUCCAGUCUGUCCCUCCCCCACCAUUGGCUCUAGCACGUAACUUUCCUCACUUCUUUCCCCUCUGAAUUGGCAGGUGAGAGGAAGGGAUGGUAGUGGGAAUCAGAUUCCUAUCUAGUUCAAGUAAAACCACCAAAAAAAGUGUGAUGACCAAUGAUCUCAUGAUAAACCUGAAUAUAAGUUUAAAUGUCACAAUUAGUCCAGGUGAUCAGAAUUUGAUUAAUCAGGAACUUUCAUCAGACUUACUCACCUUCUUCUCUUAAUUACUCAACCAAAUUUAAGCAACCAACAAAUGACUACCCAAAUGAAACACUUGGUAAAAAAUUUAAAUCCUUUUAUUACCUGCUUUAUGCUUUUAAAGGGUAUCUGAUUUAGCUAACCAUGGUGAUUAUCUCCAUACCUUUAGAAAUACUUGUAUUGUCCACCACUUUGAAGAUAAUAAUUGUCAAAGAUGUGGCAACUAAAUUUAUAAGACAAAUCCAUAAGAAAUGUGAGCUUGGAUAAAAUAUUUAAAGCAUAAUAUACUCAAGCAGGGAAGACUAGGAGAAGAAUUUGAGGAUGAGCCAGAAUUCUGGAAGAGAAAUAAGCCUCAAUAAAAUAGGUAAUAUAGUACUUCCAAGAGUUGACAAACCUAAAUUAGAUUAGAAAAUCAGUGUGUCUUCUAUUAUAUAAUCUAUCUAGACAUAAAGCAAUCAGGUGACCUAUAAAAAAGAUUUAAUAUAGAAAUUUAUCUGAUGUUCUUCACAUAUGACUAUGGGAUCUCUUAAAACAUUGCUUAGCUAAAAGCUGUAACUUCCAAAGUUCUUAUGAGUUUCAGCAUCUGAACUGCCUAGCUUCUUGUCUACUCAGAGGAAGGCUCUUUUUAUCAGUCAUACCCCACAGAAUUACAGUAUUGAACAAGAAAUUUCUGGUAGACCACGUCAUGUAGGUCCCAGAGAGAUGAUCCUGUACUAUUUAUUUACUUACUACUUAGAUUGCACAAUACAGUACUGUAAAUGUUAUUUUCUCUUUAGAUUUUCUUAAUACCAUUUUCUUUUCUCUUUAUUGUAAGAAUAGAGUAUAUAAAACAUAUACAAAAUAUGUGUUAUUAGUUACCGGUAAGGCUUCCAGUCAAAAGUAGGCUAUUAGUAGUUAAGUUUUUUGGGGAAGGCUAUUUGUAGUUAUAUUUUGGGAGAGAUAAAACUUAUACAUGGAUUUUUGACUGUGCAAGGAGUUAGCGCCCCUAACUACCCACACUGUUCAACGGUCAACUGUAUUUAUCUUCCUCUAAAAUCCUUAAAGCUUCUUGGAGGCGGGAAACUACCUCAUUCAUCUCUGUAUUCUUUUUUUUUUUUUUUUAAUUUUUAAAGAGUAUUUUAUUUAUUCAUUUGAGAGAAAGAGUUAGCGAGCACUAGUGGGGGAGAAGGGCAGAGGGAGAGAGAGAAGCAGGCUCGAAGCCAGGUCCCCACAAUCAUGACCUGAGCUGAAGGCAGACGCUUAACUGACUGAGCCACCCAGGCGCCCUUCAUCUCUGUAUUCUUAGUAGAGAUGUGCAUAAGUUCUACUUGGCUUUAGUAUCUGGCCCUAAUCUUCUAUUUGACCUUGACUUAAGCCCAUGGAAGGCUGACUGCCCCUUCAACAUUUUUUUAGGAUCCCUGAAUUUGUGCUUCAUCAGUGCUCCUGUGACACUACAGACUGUGAUAAUUGAACAGCAUAAUAAUAUCAGUACUAUAAACAAUGCAUACUGUUUAGAUUUACUGUGAUUACCUGGAUAUGCACUUUCAAAUGUAAGUAAGCAUUUAGUAAGCAAUUAGUAAGCAUACUAGAUGUAAGUUAGAAAAAAGCUACUGAUUAAAAAAAAAAAAAAAAUCACCAAGCACUACAACAGUGAAUGGCACCAA